GACGAACGCUGGCGGCGUGCUUAACACAUGCAAGUCGAACGAAGAGCGAUGGAAGCUUGCUUCUAUCAAUCUUAGUGGCGAACGGGUGAGUAACGCGUAAUCAACCUGCCCUUCAGAGGGGGACAACAGUUGGAAACGACUGCUAAUACCGCAUACGAUCUAAUCUCGGCAUCGAGGAUAGAUGAAAGGUGGCCUCUACAUGUAAGCUAUCACUGAAGGAGGGGAUUGCGUCUGAUUAGCUAGUUGGAGGGGUAACGGCCCACCAAGGCGAUGAUCAGUAGCCGGUCUGAGAGGAUGAACGGCCACAUUGGGACUGAGACACGGCCCAGACUCCUACGGGAGGCAGCAGUGGGGAAUCUUCCGCAAUAGACGAAAGUCUGACGGAGCAACGCCGCGUGAGUGAUGACGGCCGUCGGGUUGUAAAGCUCUGUUAAUCGGGACGAAAGGCCUUCUUGCGAACAGUUAGAAGGAUUGACGGUACCGGAAUAGAAAGCCACGGCUAACUACGUG
rnacentral:rRNA from 1 species